rnacentral:rRNA from 1 species
GUUGACCUCGGAUCAGGUAGGGAUACCCGCUGAACUUAAGCAUAUCAAAG